rnacentral:tRNA from 1 species
GUAGAGAUGGCUUAGUGGUUAAGAGCUCUGGCUGCUCUCGCAGAAGACCUGAGUUUGAGUCUCAGUGCCUGCA